rnacentral:rRNA from 1 species
AUACGGAGGGAGCGAGCGUUAAUCGGAAUUACUGGGCGUAAAGCGCGCGUAGGCGGCUUUGUAAGUCGGAUGUGAAAGCCCUGGGCUCAACCUGGGAAUGGCAUUCGAAACUGCAGAGCUAGAGUAUGGUAGAGGGAAGUGGAAUUUCCGGUGUAGCGGUGAAAUGCGUAGAUAUCGGAAGGAACACCAGUGGCGAAGGCGGCUUCCUGGACUAAAACUGACGCUGAGGUACGAAAGCGUGGGGAGCAAACAGGAUUAGAUACCCCAGUAGUCC